AGUCGAACGGCAGCACGGACUUCGGUCUGGUGGUGCAGUGGCGAACGGGUGAGAAUAUCGGAACGUGCCUAGUAGCGGGGAUAACUACGCGAAAGCGUAGCUAAUACCGCAUACGCCCUUCGGGGGAAAGCGUGGGGGACCUUCGGGCCUCGCAAUUAUUAGAGUGGCCGAUAUCGGAUUAGCUAGUUGGUGGGUAACGGCUCGCCACCAAGGCGACGAUCCGUAGCUGGUUUGAGAGGACGACCAGCCACACUGGGAUCGAGGACGCUCCAGACUCCCACGGAGGCAGCAGUGGGGAAUUUUGGGACAAUGGGGGAACCCCUGAUCCAGCCAUCCCGCGUAAAAGAUGAAGGCCUUCGGGUUGUAAAGCACUUUUGGCAGGAAGAACCGCACGGGAUAAUACCCCGUGCAACUGACGGUACCUGCAGAAUACACCGGCUAACUACGUGCCAGCAGCCGCGGUAAUACGUAGGUAAGCGUUAAUCGGAAUUACUGGGCGUAAAGCGUGCGCAGGCGGUUCGGAAAGAAAGAAGUGAAAUCCCAGAGCUUAACUUUGAACCGCAUUUUUAACUACCGAGCUAGAGUGUGUCAGAGGGAGGUGGAAUUCCGCGUGUAGCAGUGAAAACGUAGAUAUGCGGAGAGGACACCGACGGCGAAGGCAGCCUCCUGGGAUAACGAUCGACGCUCAUGCACGAAAGCGUGGGGAGCAAACAGGAUUAGAUAAUUUCUGGUAGUCCACGCCCUAAACGAUGUUUGAAUUAGCUGUUGGGGCCUUCGGGCCUUGGUAGCGCAGCUAACGCGUGAAGUUGACCGCCUGGGGAGUACGGUCGCAAGAUUAAAACUCAAAGGAAUUGACGGGGAGACCCGCACAAGCGAAGAUGAUGAUUAAUCUGAUGCAACACUAAAAACCUUACCUACCCUUGACAUGUCUGGAAUCCCGAAGCAGGAUUUGAAGAGCGUCGCAAGAACCGGAACACAGGUGCUGCAUGGUUGUCAGCUCGUGUCGUGAGAUGUUGGGUUAAGUCCCGCAACGAGCGCAACCUCGGUCAUUAGUUACGCUGAAAGGGCACUCUAAUUAGACUGCCGGUGACAAACCGGAUAGCUGCGGGGAUGACGUCAAGUCCUCAUGGCCCUUAUGGGUAGGGCUUCACACGUCAUACAAUGAAGUCGGACAGAGGUCACAACCCAGGAGGGGAGCCAAUCCUGAAACCCGAUCAAACUGGAUCGGCCCAGCAACUCGACUGCGUGAAGUCAAAUCGCGAAAAUCGCGGAUCAGCAUGUCGCGGUGAAUACGUUCCCGGGUCUUGUACACACCGCCCGCUACGACCAGAGGCUUUUACCAGAAGUAGUUAGCUUAACCGCAGAUGUUAUCGACGUAGGAUCUGGCGACUGGGGUGAAGUCGCAAUGAAGGUAG
rnacentral:rRNA from 1 species